ACUCCUACGGGAGGCAGCAGUAGGGAAUCUUCCACAAUGGGCGAAAGCCUGAUGGAGCAACGCCGCGUGGGUGAAGAAGGUCUUCGGAUCGUAAAACCCUGUUGUUAGAGAAGAAAGUGCGUGAGAGUAACUGUUCACGUUUCGACGGUAUCUAACCAGAAAGCCACGGCUAACUACGUGCCAGCAGCCGCGGUAAUACGUAGGUGGCAAGCGUUAUCCGGAUUUAUUGGGCGUAAAGGGAACGCAGGCGGUCUUUUAAGUCUGAUGUGAAAGCCUUCGGCUUAACCGGAGUAGUGCAUUGGAAACUGGGAGACUUGAGUGCAGAAGAGGAGAGUGGAACUCCAUGUGUAGCGGUGAAAUGCGUAGAUAUAUGGAAGAACACCAGUGGCGAAAGCGGCUCUCUGGUCUGUAACUGACGCUGAGGUUCGAAAGCGUGGGUAGCAAACAGGAUUAGAUACCCUGGUAGGAUACC
rnacentral:rRNA from 1 species